GAUGAAGAACGCAGCGAAAUGCGAUACGUAAUGUGAAUUGCAGAAUUCAGUGAAUCAUCGAAUCUUUGAACGCAUAUUGCGCUCUCUGGUAUUCCGGAGAGCAUGCUUGUUUGAGUAUCAGUAAACACCUCAACUUCCAUAUCUUUUUUGAAAUGGGAGUUGGACUUGAGUGAUCCCAACGCUUUUCCUCACCGAAAAGUGGCGGGUUACUUGAAAUGCAGGUGCAGCUGGACUUUUCUCUGAGCUAUAAGCAUAUCUAUUUAGUCUGCCUAAAAAACAGAUUAUUACCUUUGCUGCAGCUAACAUAAAGGAGAUUAGUUCUUGUGCUGACUGAUGCAGGAUUCACAAAGACGGCUUCGGCCGACUUUGUAAACUCGUUCUCAAAUCAAGUAAGACUACCCGCUGAACUUAAGCAUAUCAAUAAGCGGAGGA
rnacentral:misc_RNA from 1 species